UACGAAGGGGACAAGCGUUGUUCGGAAUUACUGGGCGUAAAGGGCGCGUAGGCGGCUUAUCAAGUCAGGCGUGAAAUUCCCGGGCUCAACCUGGGGGCUGCGCUUGAUACUGAUUGGCUUGAAUGCGGGAGAGGAUAGUGGAAUUCCCAGUGUAGGGGUGAAAUCCGUAGAUAUUCGGAGGAACACCAGUGGCGAAGGCGGCUUCCUGGACCAAUACUGACGCUGAGACGCGAAAGCGUGGGGAGCAAACAGG
rnacentral:rRNA from 1 species